rnacentral:rRNA from 1 species
CCUACGGGAGGCAGCAGUGAGGAAUAUUGGUCAAUGGACGCAAGUCUGAACCAGCCAUGCCGCGUGCAGGAAGAAGGCGCUAUGAGUUGUAAACUGCUUUUAUACGGGGGUAAAUCUAGAUACGUGUAUCCGGAUGAAAGUACCGUACGAAUAAGGAUCGGCUAACUCCGUGCCAGCAGCCGCGGUAAUACGGAGGAUCCUGGCGUUUUCCGGAUUUAUUGGGUUUAAAGGGUGCGUAGGCGGGCAUGUAAGUUAGAGGUGAAAGGUCCGAGCUUAACACCGGAACUGCCUCUGAUACUGUCGGUCUAGAGAGUAGGUGCGGUAGGCGGAAUGUGUGGUGUAGCGGUGAAAUGCUUAGAUAUCACACAGAACACCGAUUGCGAAGGCAGCUUACCAAUCUAUAACUGACGCUGAGGCACGAAAGCGUGGGGAGCGAACAGGAUUAGAUACCCGAGUAGUC